UAGGGAAUCUUCGGCAAUGGGGGGAACCCUGACCGAGCAACGCCGCGUGAGUGAAGAAGGUUUUCGGAUCGUAAAGCUCUGUUGUUAAGGAAGAACGAGUGUGAGAAUGGAAAGUUCAUACUGUGACGGUACUUAACCAGAAAGGGACGGCUAACUACGUGCCAGCAGCCGCGGUAAUACGUAGGUCCCGAGCGUUGUCCGGAUUUAUUGGGCGUAAAGCGAGCGCAGGCGGUUAGAUAAGUCUGAAGUUAAAGGCAGUGGCUCAACCAUUGUAGGCUUUGGAAACUGGUUAACUUGAGUGGAGAAGGGGAGAGUGGAAUUCCAUGUGGAGCGGUGAAAUGCGUAGAUAUAUGGAGGAACACCGGUGGCGAAAGCGGCUCUCUGGUCUGUAACUGACGCUGAGGCUCGAAAGCGUGGGGAGCGAACAGG
rnacentral:rRNA from 1 species